AAACAGUUCAGACUUGUCCACAAGACACUGGGGCUUAGGCAUGUUACUUUUUCUGCCUUCAUGCUGGAGUAUUUCCAAAGCUUUCUAAUAAAAUUGA